CACGUAGGGUGCGAGCGUUGCUCGGAAUCACUGGGCGUAAAGCGCACGUAGGCGGCUUUUUAAGUCAGGGGUGAAAUCCUGGAGCUCAACUCCAGAACUGCCUUUGAUACUGGGAAGCUUGAGUCCGGGAGAGGUGAGUGGAACUCCGAGUGUAGAGGUGAAAUUCGUAGAUAUUCGGAAGAACACCGGAGGCGAAGGCGGCUUGCUGGGCAUGGUCUGACGCUGAGGCGCGAAAGCGUGGGGAGCGAACAGG
rnacentral:rRNA from 1 species